GCUCAGAAUGAACGCUGGCGGCAUGCCUAACACAUGCAAGUCGAACGAAGGCUUCGGCCUUAGUGGCGCACGGGUGCGUAACGCGUGGGAAUCUGCCCUUGGGUUCGGAAUAACAGUUAGAAAUGACUGCUAAUACCGGAUGAUGUCGUAAGACCAAAGAUUUAUCGCCCAGGGAUGAGCCCGCGUAGGAUUAGCUAGUUGGUGGGGUAAAGGCCCACCAAGGCGACGAUCCUUAGCUGGUCUGAGAGGAUGAUCAGCCACACUGGGACUGAGACACGGCCCAGACUCCUACGGGAGGCAGCAGUGGGGAAUAUUGGACAAUGGGCGAAAGCCUGAUCCAGCAAUGCCGCGUGAGUGAUGAAGGCCUUAGGGUUGUAAAGCUCUUUUACCCGGGAUGAUAAUGACA
rnacentral:rRNA from 1 species